rnacentral:rRNA from 1 species
ACACAUGCAAGUCGAGGGGCAGCGGGGGUCUUGAUACCCGCCGGCGACCGGCGCACGGGUGAGUAACGCGUAUGCAACUUGCCUAUCAGAGGGGGAUAACCCGGCGAAAGUCGGACUAAUACCGCAUGAAGCAGGGGCCCCGCAUGGGGAUAUUUGCUAAAGAUUCAUCGCUGAUAGAUAGGCAUGCGUUCCAUUAGGCAGUUGGCGGGGUAACGGCCCACCAAACCGACGAUGGAUAGGGGUUCUGAGAGGAAGGUCCCCCACAUUGGUACUGAGACACGGACCAAACUCCUACGGGAGGCAGCAGUGAGGAAUAUUGGUCAAUGGCCGAGAGGCUGAACCAGCCAAGUCGCGUGAGGGAUGAAGGUUCUAUGGAUCGUAAACCUCUUUUAUAAGGGAAUAAAGUGCGGGACGUGUCCCGUCUUGUAUGUACCUUAUGAAUAAGGAUCGGCUAACUCCGUGCCAGCAGCCGCGGUAAUACGGAGGAUCCGAGCGUUAUCCGGAUUUAUUGGGUUUAAAGGGUGCGUAGGCGGCCUUUUAAGUCAGCGGUGAAAGUCUGUGGCUCAACCAUAGAAUUGCCGUUGAAACUGGGGGGCUUGAGUAUGUUUGAGGCAGGCGGAAUGCGUGGUGUAGCGGUGAAAUGCAUAGAUAUCACGCAGAACCCCGAUUGCGAAGGCAGCCUGCCAAGCCAUUACUGACGCUGAUGCACGAAAGCGUGGGGAUCAAACAGGAUUAGAUACCCUGGUAGUCCACGCAGUAAACGAUGAUCACUAGCUGUUUGCGAUACACUGUAAGCGGCACAGCGAAAGCGUUAAGUGAUCCACCUGGGGAGUACGCCGGCAACGGUGAAACUCAAAGGAAUUGACGGGGGCCCGCACAAGCGGAGGAACAUGUGGUUUAAUUCGAUGAUACGCGAGGAACCUUACCCGGGUUUGAACGCAUUCGGACCGAGGUGGAAACACCUUUUCUAGCAAUAGCCGUUUGCGAGGUGCUGCAUGGUUGUCGUCAGCUCGUGCCGUGAGGUGUCGGCUUAAGUGCCAUAACGAGCGCAACCCUUGCCACUAGUUACUAACAGGUAAAGCUGAGGACUCUGGUGGGACUGCCAGCGUAAGCUGCGAGGAAGGCGGGGAUGACGUCAAAUCAGCACGGCCCUUACAUCCGGGGCGACACACGUGUUACAAUGGCGUGGACAAAGGGAGGCCACCUGGCGACAGGGAGCGAAUCCCCAAACCACGUCUCAGUUCGGAUCGGAGUCUGCAACCCGACUCCGUGAAGCUGGAUUCGCUAGUAAUCGCGCAUCAGCCAUGGCGCGGUGAAUACGUUCCCGGGCCUUGUACACACCGCCCGUCAAGCCAUGGGAGCCGGGGGUACCUGAAGUCCGUAACCGAAAGGAUCGGCCUAGGGUAAAACUGGUGACUGGGGCUAA